AAGCGUUCCCAUUCUUUUUUCCGUUUUUACCUCUUCUUGCAAGCAUUGUGAGCGCUGAUACGGAGAUCGCAAGAUGCAAUGCGGUGUGACUGUCCUCUCUGUGCAAACGGUUAAGUCCGUACGAAGCGGCAGGCAAUGGAUGGUUUACAGGAUUUCAGUCAGUUUUCAGGUAAGUAGACGAUGUAUCGGAUAUGCUUUUGUGAAUGUUAAGCGUUCCCAUUCUUUUUUCCGUUUUUACCUCUUCUUGCAAGCAUUGUGAGCGCUGAUACGGAGAUCGCAAGAUGCAAUGCGGUGUGACUGUCCUCUCUGUGCAAACGGUUAAGUCCGUACGAAGCGGCAGGCAAUGGAUGGUUUACAGGAUUUCAGUCAGUUUUCAGGUAAGUAGACGAUGUAUCGGAUAUGCUUUUGUGAAUGUUAAGCGUUCCCAUUCUUUUUUCCGUUUUUACCUCUUCUUGCAAGCAUUGUGAGCGCUGAUACGGAGAUCGCAAGAUGCAAUGCGGUGUGACUGUCCUCUCUGUGCAAACGGUUAAGUCCGUACGAAGCGGCAGGCAAUGGAUGGUUUACAGGAUUUCAGUCAGUUUUCAGGUAAGUAGACGAUGUAUCGGAUAUGCUUUUGUGAAUGUUAAGCGUUCCCAUUCUUUUUUCCGUUUUUACCUCUUCUUGCAAGCAUUGUGAGCGCUGAUACGGAGAUCGCAAGAUGCAAUGCGGUGUGACUGUCCU